rnacentral:lncRNA from 1 species
CCACUCACCAUGAUAGCAACGGGUUAGAAGGCGAGGGUGAGAGAUAGAAGCAGACACCGGGUCUCGGUUACCGUUCCCGACAACUAAGAGUCGAGAAUGUGGAUCAGUGACAACCCUGAGCACAAGGCAACCCUAAGUCACAUGCUAACAGUGGAGGAAGACAGAACAUAGGUCCCUGUGACAAUGCUCAGCUACAGAAGCCUUGGCCUGCUGCAUUGGCCGAGCACAUUUGUAAUAAAUUCAGAGUCACCAACACUGUAUCGGUGACACAAUAGGAAAAGGAGUCAAAGCCUUUCCGCUUGGUGACAUUUAACCACAAGUGAGCCCAGACUUUUGAAUUCUCUGCUCGGCUCUUCCUGUGUCUCCUGUGUCCUCUGUCCGUCCUGAGUGCUGUCCCAUGUCUGUGUGUUUCCUAAUAAAGUGCUUUGCUCUUGCUUUUAUUGACCAGCACAGAAAGCAAUGGAGGGUACCUCAUAGAAGUCUUUAAGAGUUUUACGAUGAAUGAAGUCACCAACCCAGAUAACAAAUGUUGUCAAGAAACAUCCUAGUGCCGCCACUUCAGUGUUUACAGUGGAUAUUUGUCUCAUAAAGUUGCUGUUUGCCUGUUUGCUGUUUUCAGGAUUUAUUACUGUAAUGCACACACACACACACACACACACACACACACACACACACACAGGGAUCAGGGUAGCAAAAGUUCUAGGUUGUAAAAAAUAAUUACAUUGGAAAUCCAAGGCAAAAACCUUUGAUUGUUCUCAGGUUAAACUGGCUGAGUUCCCCUGCACAACACACGUGGAGGGGUAGGACGAACACUGGCUGUGAGGUUCAGCAGGAGUUCCAGUCCUUUAGGAUAUAAGAGAUUUUCCUACAGUACUGCAGGACUACAGGCUGCCUACCUCUGGAUUUCCCGUUGUAGAAAAAAGUAGUUUGUUUAGGAAUUUGGGGUGUGUGCAAGUGUGGCUGGGUGUGUUUGUGUGAUCUUGGCGCUAAUGGAAACUCACCAGUGUGUAGUCCGUGUGGCUCACGCCUGUCGUGCGAGCCCCGAGAAAGCAGGAGCAGGAGGGGGGAUAUUUUUUCAAGGACAGGGUGGUUACAUAGUUCUAGGCCAGCCAGGACUACUACUUAGUGAGACUUUGGGAUUAUUGUUUUGUUUAGAUAGCCCUGGCUAUUUUAGAACUAUGUAGCCUGGGUUGGCCUUGAACUCACAGAGAUUCACCUCACCUGUUUCCUCCUCCUAAAUGCUGGGACUAAAGAUGAAAGGUGUCUGACCUGGCACCCUGGCAUGAGAGUAUGCAAAACAAAAACUAAGCAAAAACCCUCAAAAUAAAGCACAAUCAUAAUCAAU